rnacentral:lncRNA from 1 species
CGUGUAGCGGCAGAGCCGAGGGGACGGGGGUGGCGCUGCCCUCCGCCCCGCUGGGCUGCAGCAGGCAGGCACCGUGAGCCAGCCCCUGCCAUGCAUCUGAGCAGCAGCAGCAGCAGCAGCAGCAGCAGCAUCCAGCUCCCUCCCGCGCCCUCCUCCUCCGUCUCCCGCGGCCGCCGCUGCGCCGGGCUCCUCGCUGCUGCCUCUGCAUGGAGAAGUUGCAGCCUUUGCGAAGCCCCGGCUGAGCCCUGAGACGCUGCCGCCGCCGCCGCCUCGGAGGAGGGGAGGGCGGGGAGGGGGCGCGGGCGAGCCGCUCUCCCAAGCAUGAACUGAUCGCCUGCCCCAGCGCUGGCUGGUGGCGGCGCGGAGCUGCGAGCCCCCAUGCCUCUGGGGCUGGCCCGCCCCGAGCUGCCGCCGCGGGAGCCUCGCGCUUGGCACGGGCGGAGCGAAGGCAGCGGCCCCCGUUGCUGCUGCUGCUGCUGCAGAGGCGGCCGCCGCCGCUAGCCGCCGCGGAGCCGCUCCUCAUGCCCGGCGCUCGCCCGCCGUCUGACCGGAGAGGGCCGGGCCCGACGGGGGGCACCGGAGUGCGAGCCAUGGGGUAUUGCAGCGGCCGGUGCACGCUCCUCUUCCUCUGUGGCAUGCAACUGAGACGAGACACAGGCCAGCCACAGGAACCUCAUGGGAUCAUAAACAAAGGGACAUACCUCACUUGGCCUGCCCAGGGGCCUUUCAACUACAUAUCUGAUAAUGAAUUACCUACUUUUGGAAUACUAUAAGCAAUUCAGAUGUCCUAACUUCAAGGAUAUGGAAAAAUUGAAGAGGAUAUGCAGCAGAACCUCAAAAUUUACUGAAAGGUUGGAAAAGAAAGUAAAGGGGCUCUAUAUUUUGGUAAGAAAGGUGAGUUCUUUGGUCUUCUAGAUCCAAUGCCUGGAAGUAGAAGCUCAGCAAAAAUGAGGUGCAAAUUUUUAAUGGGGAAGGUAAUUACUUUUGGAUCAAUUUACCAGGUUUUGAUGAAUUGUCUGUCACAGUAAACACUUAAAUAAAGAUGUGGACAUGUUUCUUAAGUCUGUAAUG